GACGAACGCUGGCGGCGUGCUUAACACAUGCAAGUCGAACGGUAAGGCCCUGCUUUUGUGGGGUGCUGGAGUGGCGAACGGGUGGGUAACAUGUGACUAACCUGCCCUGGACUUUGGGAUAACUUCAGGAAACUGGGGCGAAUACCGGAUAGGAGCUCCUGCUGCAUGGUGGGGGUUGGAAAGUUUCGGGGGUUGUGGAGGGACUCGCGGCUUAUCAGCUCGUUGGUGGGGUAGUGGCUUAACUAGGCUUUGACGGGUAGCCGGCCUGAGUGGGUGACCGGCCCCGUUGGGACUGAUAUACGGGCCAGCCUCCUACGGGAGGCAGCAAUGGGGGAUAUUGCGCAAUGGGCGGGCGGCUGAUGCAACAACGGCGCUUGCGGGAUGAAGGCCUUCGGGUAGUAAACCACUUUUGCCUGUGACGUAGCGUGGUUGACGGUAAUGGGUAAAGAAGCACCGGCUAACUACGUG
rnacentral:rRNA from 1 species